CUAAUACUCCAUCCGUCCGAAAAUACUUGUCCUAAAGAUGAAUGUACUAGACUUAUUUUAGUUAUAGAUACAUCCAUUAUAUCAAUUUCUAGGACAAGUAUUUCCGGACGGAGAGAGUAUAAA
rnacentral:pre_miRNA from 2 species